CAGCCGCCGCGGUAAAACAGAGGGUGCAAGCGUUAAUCGGAUUUACUGGGCGUAAAGGGCGCGUAGGUGGUUAUUUAAGUGAGAUGUGAAAGCCCCGGGCUUAACCUGGGAACUGCAUCUUAUACUGGGUAACUGGAGUGCAGUAGAGGGUAGUGGAAUUUCCGGUGUAGCGGUGAAAUGCGUAGAUAUCGGAAGGAACACCAGUGGCGAAGGCGGCUACCUGGACUGAGACUGACACUGAGGCGCGAGAGCGUGGGGAGCAAACAGGAUUAGAUACCCCAGUAGUCCCUGUCUCUUAUAC
rnacentral:rRNA from 1 species